GGGUGGGGUGGGUAAAACAACACUCGCCAGGCUUGUCUACAAUGAUGAGUCACUACAACAACAACAAUUUUGUCCAAAAGCAUGGGUUUGUGUGUCUGAUGAUUUUGACAUUUUGAGGAUAUCCAAGAGCAUUCUUGAGUCAAUCACUUUGAAGUCGUGUGAUCUAAAGGAGCUUAAUCAAGUUCAUCUGAAAUUGCAAGAAGAAUUAGAAGGAAAGAAGUUUUUGUUUGUUUUAGAUGACGUCUGGAAUAAUAAUUAUGAUGAGUGGAAUGCCCUUUGUUCUCCGUUGAUGUGUGGAGCACAUGGAAGCAGAGUGAUCGUGACAACACGUGAUGAAGCUAUUGCACGGAUGAUGAAAACAAUUCAAUAUCACAAUUUGAAUUGUAUUUCAGAUGAAAAUUGCUGGAAAUUGUUUCUUGACUAUGCUUUUGCGAGCACAAGUAUUGCAGUUGCAGAUCCAAAACUUGAAUUCAUCCGUGAAAAGUUCAUAAACAAGUGCAGUGGCUUGCCUUUAGCGGCAAGGACAUUGGGUGGUCUUCUACGCUCAAAACAAAGGGAGGAUUGGGAAAAUGUAAUUAACAGCAAAAUCUGGAAUUUACAUGGUGACGGCAACAACAUUCUUCCUGUGUUAAGAUUA
rnacentral:misc_RNA from 1 species